AUACGUAGGGAGCGAGCGUUGUCCGGAAUUACUGGGUGUAAAGGGAGCGUAGGCGGGAGUGCAAGUCAGAUGUGAAAUACAUGGGCUCAACCCAUGGGCUGCAUUUGAAACUGCAGGACUUGAGUGAAGUAGAGGUACGCGGAAUUCCUGGUGUAGCGGUGAAAUGCGUAGAUAUCAGGAGGAACACCGGUGGCGAAGGCGGCUUACUGGGCUUUUACUGACGCUGAGGCUCGAAAGCGUGGGGAGCAAACAGGAUUAGAUACCCUGGUAGUCCACGCUGUAAACGAUGAUUACUAGGUGUGGGGGGACUGACCCCUUCCGUGCCGCAGUUAACACAAUAAGUAAUCCACCUGGGGAGUACGGCCGCAAGGUUGAAACUCAAAUGAAUUGGCGGGG
rnacentral:rRNA from 1 species